AGAGUUUGAUCCUGGCUCAGAUUGAACGCUGGCGGCAGGCCUAACACAUGCAAGUCGAACGGUAACAGGAAACAGCUUGCUGUUUCGCUGACGAGUGGCGGACGGGUGAGUAAUGUCUGGGAAACUGCCUGAUGGAGGGGGAUAACUACUGGAAACGGUAACUAAUACCGCAUAACGUCGCAAGACCAAAGAGGGGGACCCUCGGGCCUCUUGCCAUCGGAUGUGCCCAGAUGGGAUUAGCUUGUUGGUGGGGUAACGGCUCACCAAGGCGACGAUCCCUAGCUGGUCUGAGAGGAUGACCAGCCACACUGGAACUGAGACACGGUCCAGACUCCUACGGGAGGCAGCAGUGGGGAAUAUUGCACAAUGGGCGCAAGCCUGAUGCAGCCAUGCCGCGUGUAUGAAGAAGGCCUUCGGGUUGUAAAGUACUUUCAGCGGGGAGGAAGGGAGUAAAGUUAAUACCUUUGCUCAUUGACGUUACCCGCAGAAGAAGCACCGGCUAACUCCGUGCCAGCAGCCGCGGUAAUACGGAGGGUGCAAGCGUUAAUCGGAAUUACUGGGCGUAAGCGCACGCAGGCGGUUUGUUAAGUCAGAUGUGAAAUCCCCGGGCUCAACCUGGGAACUGCAUCUGAUACUGGCAAGCUUGAGUCUCGUAGAGGGGGGUAGAAUUCCAGUGUAGCGGUGAAAUGCGUAGAGAUCUGGAGGAUACCGGUGGCGAANCGGCCCCUGGACGAGACUGACGCUCAGUGCGAAAGCGUGGGGAGCAAACAGAUUAGAAUGCCCUGGUAGUCCNCGCCGUAACGAUUUCGACUGAGUUGUGCCCUUGAGNGUGGCUCNNAGCUACGCGUUAAGUCGACGCUGG
rnacentral:rRNA from 1 species